AUAUAUAUAAAUAGUACAUAUUCUAUCAGCUGAAUCAGUAAUAAAAUAAUAGUAUAGAAAGGAAAAGUUCUGCUCUGUUUCUCUCCUCUUUGUUUUUUUGCUUAGAUCUUCGAGGUGCUGGUUGUUUUUAUUUUUUUGAUCAAUGGACGCGUUUUAGACUCAUUAGAACUCAUCGGAGAAAAAAAACACAAAUUGUUUUCUUGGAGUAACGGAGGUGUUCGAUCAUGGCGGUAGUUGAGAAUGCUGGAAUCAACGUAGACUCGUCAAAUCGGACCGAGUCGAUGGAUCAAUCGAAGUCAAAUCACAUGGGAACACAACAACACCACCACCAGGGCAACGACAACAACAACACUACUAACCCUAUUUUGAGGUCAAAUGAUCAUCAACAUCAUCAUCAGAGUUUCCACAUGAUCGCUCAGCAACAGAAGAUGAUGUCAUCGCCGGCGACGAUGAACAACAACACUGCUCCGGUGAACGGUAACGGUACUGUUAAUAAUCACAAGUCUGUUGCUCAAGUGAGUGUAGUUCAGCAGCACGGCAAUGGUGAAUUGAUGAGAAAUCAUGGAGAUGAUGAUGAUGAUGAUGAUGGUGGUGAGGGUUUUAAGCGAGAGAUGAGGGAUUUGGAGGAAAUGCUGUCUAAGUUGAACCCUAUGGCUGAAGAAUUUGUGCCCCCAUCUCUCUCCAAUUACAGACCACUGCAACCCUCUAAUGGCUUCCUUGGUUAUUCCAACAAUUUUCUGAUGCAAACUAACUCUGGCAUUGCCAAUGGAAACACCGCUAGACGGAAGAAGAAUAGCUAUAGUCAGGGGAAGAGAAGGAUCAACAGCCGUACGAGUAUGGCGCAGCGAGAAGAGGUAAUUAGGAGGACUGUGUAUGUAUCUGACAUUGAUCAUCAGGUUACGGAAGAACAACUUGCAGCUCUCUUUAUUAGUUGUGGACAGGUGGUUGAUUGUCGUGUUUGUGGUGACCCUAAUUCAGUUCUCCGUUUUGCCUUUAUUGAGUUUACUGAUGAGGAAGGUGCAAGAAAUGCUUUGAGUCUGGCAGGGACUAUGCUUGGAUACUACCCAGUCAGGGUUUUGCCUUCAAAAACUGCAAUUGCACCUGUUAAUCCUACGUUUUUGCCACGGUCUGAAGAUGAACGGGAGAUGUGUGCGAGGACAAUUUAUUGUACAAAUAUUGAUAAGAAGGUUACUCAAGCAGAUGUUAAGCUAUUUUUCGAAUCCAUUUGUGGAGAGGUUCACCGCUUGAGGUUGCUUGGAGACUAUCAGCAUUCGACUCAUAUUGCUUUUGUUGAGUUUAUAAUGUGCUGUUUGGAACUGGACUUCCCAAAAUUUAGACAAAGAUUUUUGAGAGUUUUCAAUAACUAAUUAAAGAGUUUUUUUUUUGGGAAGAAUGAAGGCUGAGAGUGCAAUUGCUGCUUUGAACUGUAGCGGUGCAGUUUUGGGAUCACUGCCGAUUAGGGUAAGCCCAUCAAAGACACCUGUUCGGCCCCGUACUCCGCGCGCAUCAAUUCACUGAGUACUCAGUUCAUUUCUUUAGAACUCAUCUGCUGAUUAAUAUAUCUACAUAUAUACAUACAUAGAUACAGAUAUUUAAGGUACUUGUGGCACUUAAAGUUAUUUUUCGUCCAUGGGGUGUUUGCCCAGUAUCUGUCUUAUAGAGGUUCGUCAUGGCUUGUUCUUUUAGCUUGUAGAGAGUUGGAUGAAAUUUCAACGCUUAAGUUGGCUUUAACUUAUGUUGCACAUUAUGAGGGAAUUCUGUAUGCUUUUUUUUUUCCCAAACAACUGAUCCUGUGCAGAUGUUUCUAUGUUUCUUUCUAAUUCUCAAAAACACUGAUUUUACAAGUCACCA